rnacentral:lncRNA from 1 species
AUGUGAGAAAGAUAAGAGGGUGAGUGAAGCAGCGGCGAGCCAUCUACGGAAACGGAAAUGACGGUGGUACCGAGGUUUUCGGUCAUCGCAGCGGUGGUCAACAGUCGCACCAGGUGGUGGCUAGGGUUUCAGUUUCCGUUUCAGGCAUUAUCAGCAGCAGAAACCAAUGGUGAAGGCGGUUAGGGUAUCACCACAGUGAUGAAGAUGGCUUCAAGAAGCUCCGGCGAGAUACCUAGGGUUCCGGUCAUAUUCCGGCGAAUUCCCCGCAGAAGGAUUAAAGCUUGCAUGUUCCAUUUUCAUGUAGAUUGGUGACCGAUUCGUCUGAAAUCAUUCCGAGACAUGUUUUUAUGGCUUCCAGGAAGCUUCUAUCCUUUUACUUGAUGAAUAAGAGAGACAACAAAGAGAAAGGCAGUCCUUAAUGAGAGACUCAGGCGCGUGCAGACUAUCUAGCCAUAAAAAAAUGUCAAUGACGAAGCUUUCCAUGGUGCUAUCGGUUGGAGUGUACAGGAAGUGGUGGUGAUGCAGACGCAGCUCUGAUGAAUUGUGGUGUUGAAACAAGGUCGAAACAAAACGAAAGGGGACAAUGACGACAUGGUGACAGUUUAGAAACCAUAGCCGUGAACUUAGCCGGCUAGGGUUUUUAUCAAAAAUCCAGUGACCCCUUCGAGCUGCGUGUCUCAUUUCGAAGCUAGGAACUACGAGGUAAAGAUUGUCAAAUCUGAGAGAUUAGGAGGCUGUAUUAUGAAACUGGUGACUCGACUUCUGACUCGCCAGGCAUUUUCAUGUCUGAUUCACUAACUCAACUCGGAAUUGCUUCCACAUUACAAAUGGGAGUAGAAACAUAAGACAUAGAAAAGCGAUGGUCUUUAGUAGAUAAACAUAUUUAUGGUCUCAAAAGUGAAAAAAAAAAGUCGGAGUAAGCUUUGUAAGUUAAAACUUCUGGGAAUGUUGUAAUGUUGCUGUAAUCAUCUUCUCCAAGCCAUUGUUGAAGCCUUUGCUGUCUCAAGUAAACUUUGUUUUUAAUGGUUCUUUAAUUUUUGUUUUUCAACUCAAAUUUCAAGCAAAAUAAUCGCAUCUUUAUUGAUG